rnacentral:rRNA from 1 species
AAAGCAUUCUCUGGUGUUGAAGGCCCUGCAAAGCAGCAUCGCGGUGGCGGAGCGUCGUUUGCGACGCCCGACACACAAAACAAGCGGUGAGUGCUUUGGGGUGGGGUGACUGCGUACCUUUUGUAUAAUGGGUCAGCGACUUAUAUUCUGUAGCAAGGUUAACCGUAUAGGGGAGCCGGAGGGAAACCGAGUCUUAACUGGGCGUUAAGUUGCAGGGUAUAGACCCGAAACCCGGUGAUCUAGCCAUGGGCAGGUUGAAGGUUGGGUAACACUAACUGGAGGACCGAACCGACUAAUGUUGAAAAAUUAGCGGAUGACCUGUGGCUGGGGGUGAAAGGCCAAUCAAACCGGGAGAUAGCUGGUUCUCCCCGAAAGCUAUUUAGGUAGCGCCUCGUGAAUUCAUCUCCGGGGGUAGAGCACUGUUUCGGCUAGGGGGUCAUCCCGACUUACCAACCCGAUGCAAACUGCGAAUACCGGAGAAUGUUAUCACGGGAGACACACGGCGGGUGCUAACGUCCGUCGUGAAGAGGGAAACAACCCAGACCGCCAGCUAAGGUCCCAAAGUCAUGGUUAAGUGGGAAACGAUGUGGGAAGGCCCAGACAGCCAGGAUGUUGGCUUAGAAGCAGCCAUCAUUUAAAGAAAGCGUAAUAGCUCACUGGUCGAGUCGGCCUGCGCGGAAGAUGUAACGGGGCUAAACCAUGCACCGAAGCUGCGGCAGCGACACUGUGUGUUGUUGGGUAGGGGAGCGUUCUGUAAGCCUGUGAAGGUGGCCUGUGAGGGUUGCUGGAGGUAUCAGAAGUGCGAAUGCUGACAUAAGUAACGAUAAAGCGGGUGAAAAGCCCGCUCGCCGGAAGACCAAGGGUUCCUGUCCAACGUUAAUCGGGGCAGGGUGAGUCGACCCCUAAGGCGAGGCCGAAAGGCGUAGUCGAUGGGAAACGGGUUAAUAUUCCCGUACUUGGUGUUACUGCGAAGGGGGGACGGAGAAGGCUAUGUUGGCCGGGCGACGGUUGUCCCGGUUUAAGCGUGUAGGUGUGUGUUCCAGGUAAAUCCGGUUCACUUUAACACUGAGGCGUGACGACGAGGCACUACGGUGCUGAAGCAACAAAUGCCCUGCUUCCAGGAAAAGCCUCUAAGCAUCAGGUAACAUCAAAUCGUACCCCAAACCGACACAGGUGGUCAGGUAGAGAAUACCAAGGCGCUUGAGAGAACUCGGGUGAAGGAACUAGGCAAAAUGGUGCCGUAACUUCGGGAGAAGGCACGCUGACACGUAGGUGAAGUGAUUUACUCACGGAGCUGAAGUCAGUCGAAGAUACCAGCUGGCUGCAACUGUUUAUUAAAAACACAGCACUGUGCAAACACGAAAGUGGACGUAUACGGUGUGACGCCUGCCCGGUGCCGGAAGGUUAAUUGAUGGGGUCAGCGCAAGCGAAGCUCCUGAUCGAAGCCCCGGUAAACGGCGGCCGUAACUAUAACGGUCCUAAGGUAGCGAAAUUCCUUGUCGGGUAAGUUCCGACCUGCACGAAUGGCGUAAUGAUGGCCAGGCUGUCUCCACCCGAGACUCAGUGAAAUUGAACUCGCUGUGAAGAUGCAGUGUACCCGCGGCAAGACGGAAAGACCCCGUGAACCUUUACUAUAGCUUGACACUGAACAUUGAGCCUUGAUGUGUAGGAUAGGUGGGAGGCUUUGAAGCGUGGACGCCAGUCUGCGUGGAGCCGACCUUGAAAUACCACCCUUUAAUGUUUGAUGUUCUAACGUGGACCCGUGAUCCGGGUUGCGGACAGUGUCUGGUGGGUAGUUUGACUGGGGCGGUCUCCUCCUAAAGAGUAACGGAGGAGCACGAAGGUUGGCUAAUCCUGGUCGGACAUCAGGAGGUUAGUGCAAUGGCAUAAGCCAGCUUGACUGCGAGCGUGACGGCGCGAGCAGGUGCGAAAGCAGGUCAUAGUGAUCCGGUGGUUCUGAAUGGAAGGGCCAUCGCUCAACGGAUAAAAGGUACUCCGGGGAUAACAGGCUGAUACCGCCCAAGAGUUCAUAUCGACGGCGGUGUUUGGCACCUCGAUGUCGGCUCAUCACAUCCUGGGGCUGAAGUAGGUCCCAAGGGUAUGGCUGUUCGCCAUUUAAAGUGGUACGCGAGCUGGGUUUAGAACGUCGUGAGACAGUUCGGUCCCUAUCUGCCGUGGGCGCUGGAGAACUGAGGGGGGCUGCUCCUAGUACGAGAGGACCGGAGUGGACGCAUCACUGGUGUUCGGGUUGUCAUGCCAAUGGCACUGCCCGGUAGCUAAAUGCGGAAGAGAUAAGUGCUGAAAGCAUCUAAGCACGAAACUUGCCCCGAG